GUCGGUUUCCCGAUUCUGGUCCCCGGCCCCAGCAGCGCCUGCCCCUUCCCACCGGGGCCCCCCAUGAUGCCACCACCCUUCAUGCCCCCUCCAGGGAUCCCCCCACCCUUUCCUCCGAUGGGGCUACCCCCCAUGAGUCAGAGACCACCAGCUAUCCCCCCCAUGCCACCUGGCAUCCUGCCCCCAAUGCUUCCACCAAUGGGGGCGCCACCACCACUCACACAGAUACCAGGAAUGGUACCUCCAAUGAUGCCAGGAAUGCUGAUGCCAGCGGUGCCUGUCACCGCAGCGACGGCUCCGGGUGCGGACACCGCCAGCUCUGCUCUGGCUGGGACAGGCCCUCCGAGGGCCCUAUGGAGUGAGCAUGUGGCCCCAGAUGGGCGCAUCUACUACUACAAUGCUGACGACAAGCAGUCCGUGUGGGAGAAGCCCAGCGUGCUCAAGUCCAAGGCAGAGGUCCUGAGCUGGGCUUUCUGGCCCUUCCUUUCAGCUGCCCUGACCCUUCCAAGUCCUUGGCCUUCCCUUAGUCUCUAACCAUAUUCAUGAUGGUUCCUCUGAUCCCAAGGUCCCUGACCAUUCCUCACCCUCCCUGGAAAUGCCUCCAUAGGAUCUCAAGAAGUCCACCUUCCCCAGUUUGAACCAGGCCAGGUGGUAGCUAAAGGUUCCUGUGUCCUCUACUCACUGGGUCCCCUUAGCUCCCCUGACUGGCUGGAGAACUUGCCCAUCCCACUGAUGGCUCCUAUCCCAUCCACUUGCAGCUGCUCCUGUCCCAAUGUCCCUGGAAAGAGUACAAGUCGGACACAGGCAAACCUUAUUACUAUAACAACCAGAGUAAAGAGUCUCGCUGGACCCGGCCCAAGGAUCUGGAUGACCUAGAGGUUCUAGUCAAACAAGAGGCUGCAGGGUGAGUGACUUGCCCACCUAUCCAUUUGUAGUUGGGGCACCUGCAGUGUGGAAGUAGACUCUGUCGCCAUGAUCUCUACACUGUGGGAGGAAGAGCCAGCUCUGUCUCCUUGUGGAGUCAUCCCCUCUGGCCCCAGUCCUUCCCAGGACAGAGAAA
rnacentral:sRNA from 1 species